AUGGACGAAAGUCUGACGGAGCAACGCCGCGUGAGUGAUGACGGCCUUCGGGUUGUAAAGCUCUGUUAAUCGGGACGAAAGGCCUUCUUGCGAAUAGUUAGAAGGAUUGACGGUACCGGAAUAGAAAGCCACGGCUAACUACGUGCCAGCAGCCGCGGUAAUACGUAGGUGGCAAGCGUUGUCCGGAAUUAUUGGGCGUAAAGCGCGCGCAGGCGGAUUGGUCAGUCUGUCUUAAAAGUUCGGGGCUUAACCCCGUGAUGGGAUGGAAACUGCCAAUCUAGAGUAUCGGAGAGGAAAGUGGAAUUCCUAGUGUAGCGGUGAAACGCGUAGAUAUUAGGAAGAACACCAGUGGCGAAGGCGACUUUCUGGACGAAAACUGACGCUGAGGCGCGAAAGCCAGGGGAGCGAACGGGAUUAGAUACCCCGGUAGUCCUGGCCGUAAACGAUGGGUACUAGGUGUAGGAGGUAUCGACCCCUUCUGUGCCGGAGUUAACGCAAUAAGUACCCCGCCUGGGGAGUACGACCGCAAGGUUGAAACUCAAAGGAAUUGACGGGGGCCCGCACAAGCGGUGGAGUAUGUGGUUUAAUUCGACGCAGCGCGAAGAACCUUACCAGGUCUUGACAUUGAUGGACAGAACUAGAGAUAGUUCCUCU
rnacentral:rRNA from 1 species